UUUACGAGCGUGCCACUUUCAGGCCUGAUCUUUCUUCUAAAGAAGAACCGGAGAGGAAAUCUCUUUUUAUCAUCAUCUUCACCUCCUCCGCCUCCUCCUCCUCCUCCUCCUCAACCCUAACGAGAUGCUUGCUUAUAUUCGAUAUGUUUUUUUUUUUCUGUUUCUUUGACUCUUGAUUGAUUGGUUUAUUAGUAAAUCAAGUGGUUUACUGGUGAUUAACGGCCGCGGUGAAGGAGUGUGUUCUUUUUGGUGAGUUGGAGUUUAUGUUUGGAGAAGAUAAUGAGGAAAAGAGAUGGAGUUUGUUGAGGCUGUUGAACGACGAGGAUCUUGAAACCGGAAUGAAGAGACGUGAUUUCGAGAUGAAGAAUCGAGCAAGAAUUUGAUUUUCAGGGGCAAAUUCGAGAAGAGAAUUGAAGAAAAGGGGUGAUUUUUGAAGGAUCAGAGUUUGAUUCAGGCGAGGGAAAUGGAAGGGGAGGCGGGGGCGCAGGUGGCCUCUCCCGUGAUCAUUCACCAGCCUGUCGAUAACCAGUUCCACGAACCUCUCAUGGCCAAAAAACGCAACUUGCCUUGGCAAAAUCCUAGGUUUUACUAGAACGAGCAGCACCGCAUGGCGUCUGGGACCCCAAAUCCCAAUUGGAACCCCAUGAUGUGGGAGUGGGACAGCCUCAGCUUCACUGCCAAGCCCUCAGAACUCUCUAUUGGUACCAAUCCUUUACCUAAGGUUGUUUCCGAUGCGGAGAAGAAGAAUAAAGGGGAGGAGUGCUCGAAAGUCAUUACUUUGAGUAAAAGUUUGGAAGAUGGCGAGAAUCUCACUUUGAAGCUUGCGAGUGGGGCAUAUCUAGUUGAAGAGCAGAUUCUAAGGCCAACCAAGAAGGUGCGGUCAAGCUCGCCGAGCAGUGGUGUGAACUAUCCGAUAUGCCAGGUAGAUGACUGCAGGGCUGACCUUUCGCGUGCCAAGGAUUAUCAUCGGCGGCAUAAGGUGUGUGAGGUACAUAGUAAGACAGCUAAGGCUCUUGUUGGAAACCUGAUUCAGAGGUUCUGUCAGCAAUGCAGCAGAUUUCACCCUCUAACAGAGUUUGAUGAGGGAAAGAGAAGCUGUAGACGGAGGCUUGCAGGCCAUAACCGUCGUAGAAGGAAGACUCAACCAGAGAUUGCUUCCUCUCAUCCAUCGCAUCCUGGUUGUCAAGAGACUGCAAAUAAAGGGGGUAUGGAAAUUGUUAAUCUUCUUGCUGCUCUAAAACAAUUAAAAGGUGCUAACAUUGAUAAUCUUGUCAGCGGACCUUCUUUACCUGAUAAGGAUGAACUUGUGCAAAUUCUCUGCAGAUUAAAUUCUGCAUCAUCGAUGAUCUCUACUCCAAAGUUGCCUUUACCAGGAGGAUUUGAUUUACCUGUCUCCCAAACUUGCCAACCAGUUCCUUUGGAAGCAUCACAUAAGUUAUCAGCUCCAUCAACCAGAGACUUGCUUGCUGUUCUCUCGGCAACGGUUGCAGCAUCUUCUCCUGUUGCAAUUUCAUCUCUUUCUCAAGGGAGCAGUGAUGUGAAUGCAGAUGUUAGAGCUAAAAUACAUCAUUCAAACCCUGAACCGGAUGGUGUUUCUCAUAGCAAGUCAUAUCAAAUGUAUCCAACUGUUGAGGUGGGGCAACACAGCUCCAUUCUUCAAUCUGCAGUAGAAUUAUGUGAACGUCCUGUUGAAGAAGCACAGUCAAGCCUUCCAUUUCAACUGUUUAGCUCCAUUGAGAAUGAUGCUUCUCCGAAACCACAAUCAAGGAAAUAUUUAUCAUCUGAUAGUAGUAACCAGAUGGAAGAGAGAUCCCCCUCCUCUUCUCCUCUUGUAGUCCAAAAUCUUUUCCCCUUACGUUCAGAACAUGAAUGUAUAAAAAGUGAUGUGACAGUGGUUUCUAGAGAGGACAUGGCAGUGGAAGCAAGCACAAGUUGUCCAUUUCAGCUAUUUAAAGAGGCAGAAAGAAGAGAUGGAAAUGGUGUGGUACGAUCUCAUCCCUGUCAUGUUGGCACAGACCAUUCUCCUUCUAGUUCAAAUUCUGAUUCUCAGGAUCGUACUGGACGCAUCAUAUUCAAACUUUUUGACAAGGAUCCCAGCACUAUCCCGAGCACUGUCCGUAAUGAGAUAUUAAAUUGGCUUUCUCAUAGUCCUUCAGAAAUGGAAAGCUACAUUAGACCUGGUUGUGUUGUCCUGUCUGUUUAUACGUCAAUGACUUCUGUUGCUUGGGAUGAACUUGAAGAUGGACUCUAUCAGCGUGUCCACUUACUACUUCAAAGUUCAGACUCUGACUUUUGGAGAAAAGGGAGGUUUUUGGUCCGCACAAGUAAACAACUAGUGUCAUAUAAGGAUGGGAGAAUCCGCUUGUGCAAAUCUCGGAAAACAUGGAGUGCUCCUGAGCUUUUUUCUGUGUCACCUGUUGCUGUUGUCAGCGGGCAUGAAACUUCCCUUGCUUUGAGAGGCCGAAAUUUAACAGUUCCUGGCACCAAAAUUCACUGCACAUAUAUGGGGGUUUACACAUCCACAGAAGUACUAGGUUCAGUUUAUCCUGGCACCAUAUACAAUGAUUUUAGUUUGGAAAGUUUCAGUUUCUCCAGAGGAACUCCACAUGCUUUUGGUCGCUGUUUCAUUGAGGUGGAGAAUGGUUUCAAAGGGAAUAGUUUUCCGAUAAUCAUUGCAGAUUCUACCAUCUGUCGGGAGUUGAGAACUCUUGAAUCUGAGAUUGAGGGUCAUUUAGGAAUCGCAGAUGUGAUUCUAGAGGAUCAGAUUUAUGACUAUCAGCAACCCAAAUCACGGGAAGACAUCUUGCACUUUCUGAAUGAACUUGGCUGGUUGUUUCAAAGAAAAAACAAAUCCUCUGGCCCCUUCCUUUCAGAGUUCUCAGGCACAAGGUUCAAAUUUCUAUUAACAUUUUCAGUUGAACGAGAUUGGACUGCCCUUAUAAAAACCCUUCUAGACAUACUUGUGGAAAGAAGCUCAAAAAACCAUGACAUGAUUCAAGAAUAUCUGGAGAUGCUUGCAGAAGCUCAGCUCUUGAACAGAGCUGUGAAGAGGAAAUGCAAGAGAAUGGUUGAUUUGCUUCUGCGUUAUUCUGUAAAUGGUGUGGUUGAUGCUUCCAAGAUAUAUCUUUUCAUUCCAAAUGUGGCUGGUCAUGGUGGAUUGACUCCCUUACACUUAGCUGCAUCUACUCAGGGAUCUGAGGACAUUGUUGACGCAUUGACGAAUGACCCCCAAGAGAUUGGCUUGAACUGCUGGAAUUCGAUUUGGGAUGACAAGGGCCAGUCUCCAUGUACAUAUGCUUCCAUGAGGCACAACCAUUCAUACAACUCUCUGGUGGCUAGGAAGCUGGCCGACAAGGAGAAAGGCCAAGUAUCAAUAGCUGUUCAAAAUGGAGACCUCUCUUCCAACAUGCCACAUUCAGUGGCAAAACCUCUGUAUUCAAGAUCUUGUGCUCAGUGUGCUUGCAUUGAUGCUUCACGAAUCAGACCGACUACCCGAUCACGAGGUUUUCUCCAGCGACCAUAUUUGCAUUCCAUGCUUGCUAUUGCUGCUGUUUGUGUCUGUGUCUGCCUGUUCUUCCGAGGUUCACCCGAUCUUGGCCAUGUGGCUCCAUUCCAAUGGGAAAAUUUGGAUUUCGGGCCAACUUAACUGUGCUGGGAAGUCCAUUUAGAAGAUUGAUGUUUCUUGCAGUUACGAUCAGAAAUGUUGUGGCAAGAUUUCUUCUUUCUAGAAUGGUUUCUCUAGUGAUUUGCAGUGCUGUAGCAUCGGUUACUAAAAUCAAGAGCAAUAAUAUGCUGUGGACAUGGAAGCAUAUAACCGAACCCCAUGAGAAGGAAGUAGAAAGUAAUGGACAUGGAAGCGGUACCGCCUGCUUAUUUGGAUUUAGAAAUGGGAGUGAUCGGCAACGUACAACUUCUUCACAAUAAUAUCGGGGAUAAACGUUCGUGUCGCCUCUCAGUUGAGAUCUCAAAUCCUUGGUGCUUUAUAAUUUAUAUUGCCUCUAUGCAUUCUUGAUUCGUUAACUUAUUUGUUGUUGAUGAUGCUACUGUUGUUGAAUCCAGGAAGUGUACGUAUCCGGAUUUGUAUAACUAAAUAAGCAUAAAAGGUUUUAAUGGGAUCAUUUUCUUUUAUGAUGUUAGCUCACUGAUUGCAUCCAUAUUUUCUUCACAACCACCAGCUCAAGUCUCUAUAUUGUAUGUCAUAGGGCUAACAAUGGCGUUGGGUCUCCCUAUAGAUUAUACAACAGACAGGGAGCUGGAGUUUGAAGGCUAAGGUUUUUGAUAACUAAUUUAUAAACGUGCUGGAUUUCUGAUUUGAAAUACCAACUCUUCUGUAAAGCUCUUUUUGGGAUUAUUACGAAUUUAUAAUUCUUUGCAAUAAUACAGGGGUCAACAGAUUCAAAUUGCAGGCUA